rnacentral:rRNA from 1 species
UACGUAGGGCGCAAGCGUUAUCCGGAAUUAUUGGGCGUAAAGAGCUCGUAGGCGGUUUGUCGCGUCUGCCGUGAAAGUCCGAGGCUCAACUUCGGAUCUGCGGUGGGUACGGGCAGACUAGAGUGAUGUAGGGGAGACUGGAAUUCCUGGUGUAGCGGUGAAAUGCGCAGAUAUCAGGAGGAACACCGAUGGCGAAGGCAGGUCUCUGGGCAUCUACUGACGCUGAGGAGCGAAAGCAUGGGGGAGCGAACAGG